rnacentral:rRNA from 1 species
UACGUAGGCAGCAAGCGUUGUUCGGAGUUACUGGGCGUAAAGGGUGUGUAGGCGGUUGCUUAAGUUUGGUGUGAAAUCUCCCGGCUUAACUGGGAGGGUGCGCCGAAUACUGAGUGACCAGAGUGCGGGAGAGGAAAGUGGAAUUCCUGGUGUAGCGGUGAAAUGCGUAGAUAUCAGGAGGAACACCGGUGGUGUAGACGGCUUUCUGGACCGUAACUGACGCUGAGACACGAAAGCGUGGGGAGCAAACAGG